rnacentral:rRNA from 1 species
CCUACGAGGGGCAGCAGUGAGGAAUAUUGGUCAAUGGGCGGAAGCCUGAACCAGCCAAGUCGCGUGAGGGAAUAAGGCCCUACGGGUCGUAAACCUCUUUUGCCGGGGAGCAAGGGCCGGGACGCGUCCCGGCCCGGAGAGUACCCGGAGAAAAAGCAUCGGCUAACUCCGUGCCAGCAGCCGCGGUAAUACGGAGGAUGCGAGCGUUAUCCGGAUUUAUUGGGUUUAAAGGGUGCGUAGGCGGGCUUUUAAGUCAGCGGUAAAAAUUCGGGGCUCAACCCCGUCCGGCCGUUGCAACUGGGGGC